rnacentral:lncRNA from 1 species
UCCUUACCCUUGGGGCGGCCGCCAUGUUUCCUGAACACAAAAUGGCGACACGUGGUUAGCAUUCGUCGCCAACGAGAAAUUGGGGUCGGCCCGAAAGCUCUAGAAUGCACCCCUCUUCCUCCCCGGGGCCUUCCACCUCCGCGAGUUUUAUGACUUAAAAAAGCCCACAGGCUGGUCUGAAGAGGAAGACAAACAUAAAGAUGAAGUGCUUAAUUCAAGGUCACACAAUGUCGGGGAUGGACCUCCAGAUUUCCUUACUGACCUGCAUUAUCUUGUGGAUACCUGAGUGAAUUCCACACCACCCAUUUUAUAGAUGAAACCACUGAGACAUGGAGCAAUUGACUGAGUAGUCACUGCCCCACCCCUGCCUGGAGCCUCACACAUGACUCGCCUCCUCUCAGUGACCACAGGUUGGUUGAGGGGUUUAACAAGGCUAAGAAGGUGAGACGUGGUCUUGUAACACAGUGGUUAAGAAUGUGACUUUGGAGCCAGCCUGCUAGGGGCUGAAUUCUGACUCAGCCAUUUACUAACUGUGUGACCUUAGGCUGGAGUGCAAUGGCAUGAUCUCGGCUCAUCACAACCUCUGCUUCCUGGGUUCAAGCGAUUCUCCUGCCUCAGCCUCCCGAGUACCUGGGACUACAGGCACUCGCCACCAUGCCCGGCUGAUUUUUGUAUUUUUAAUAGAGAUGGUUUCACUAUGUUGGCCAGGCUGGUCUCGAACUCCUGACCUUGUGAUCUGCCCACCUCAGCCUCGAAAAGUGCUGGGAUUACAGGCGUGAGCCACUGCGCCCAGCCUUGUAUUUUUUUUCAGUUUGGGUAGCUGUCCCUAAUUCAUUUGUUAAAGGAGAAGCAAGAGCAAGAACCUUUAAUCUGUUCUCCUCUUCCCUAAUUUGAAAGUAGCUUGUUAUUUUGAAUAUCACUUUCUCUGAAAUAGCACAUCUCCAUCUCAGAGAAUGGAUUUAAUGUUUGGAUACAGCCAAAAGUCAUUUCAUUACCAAACCAUGGGGUGAAUAUACCAUGUAAAGCAGUUUGGGAUCAGAACUCACAGUCUGAAUUGUAAGUGAUGAGACUGCUGUCUCUCUGCUACAGCUUCUUGGCUGGCUCUGAAGGCUCUUUGAAGGCAGAUCCUAACAAGGGGACUGCUUUGAAGGGCCAUUGUUCAUUUGGAAUGAUAAAGUCUAUGUUGUUCAAAAAACAAAUGCUUGUAGCAGGUAUUUUUUCACUCCAGACUGAGAAUAUUGGUGGGAUAUUGAUAAGGGGUACUGAAUGGUAAUAAACAUGUGCUCUAGCUCUGUGCUAGUCAGCUUAUUUCAGAACUCUAGUUUGAUUCAGUUUCUUGCCUCUGACUCAAAAUGGAGGGAGAGUGAUUUUUACAUAAGAGAACACACCCACAUAUCCUUUUGGCAGCAGCUACCUGCCAGAGAUGUUGAAGAAGAGUAGCCAACCUUUACACAGCAGAUAUUGUGUGCCAGUCAUAGUCCUAAGUAUAAUACCUUACAUGUAUAAACUUCUUAUAAGGUUGGUGCUCUGUACCGAAUUGAAUAGUAUCCCCCAAAAUUCAUGUUGUCCCAGAACCUAUGAAAGUGAUCUUACUUGAGGGAGGGGGGAGGGGGGAGGGAUAGCAUUAGGAGAUAUACCUAAUGCUAAAUGACGAGUUAAUGGGUGUAGCACACCAGCAUGGCACAUGUAUACAUAUGUAACUAACCUGCACAUUGUGCACAUGUACCCUAAAACUUAAAGUAUAAUAAUAAUAAAAUAAAAAAAAAAAAGAAAGUGAUCUUACUUGGAAAUAAGGUCUUUGCACAUAUGAUCAAGUUGAGAUGAAGUUGUACUGGAAAGUCUGUCUAGUGACUGGUGUUGUCAUAAGAAGAGAGGGACACAGAGGGAAGAUGGCCACAUGAAGAUGGAGGCAGAGAUUGCAGUUAUGCUGCUGCAAACUAAGGAAUGGCUCUGGCCCUCCAAGGAUUGCUGAUAACCACCAGAAACUAGAAGAGACAAGGAAGGAUUCUUCCCUAGAGCCUUCAGAGGGAGCAUGGCCCUACUGACACCUGGAUUUCAAACUUGUAGCUUCCUAAACUGCAAGAGAAUAAAUUUCUGUUGUUUUA